rnacentral:tRNA from 1 species
UGUGAGGUAUCCAAGUCGGCAUGGAGCCUGACUGUUAAUCAGGAAAUCGCCGGUUCGAAUCCGGCCCUCACAGCCA